AACGUACGCUGGCGGCACGCCUAACACAUGCAAGUCGAACGAAGUAGCAAUACUUAGUGGCAGACGGGUGAGUAACAUGUAGGUAUCUGCCCUUUGGCCUGGAAUAACACGAGGAAACUUGUGCUAAUACCGGAUAAGUCUUUACGGAGAAAGCUUUAUGCACCAUUGGAUGAGCCUGCACUUGAUUAGUUUGUUGGUGGGGUAAUGGCCUACCAAGACUGUGAUCAAUAGCUGAUUUGAGAGGAUGAUCAGCCACAUUGGGACUGAGACACGGCCCAAACUCCUACGGGAGGCAGCAGUGGGGAAUCUUGCACAAUGGAGGAAACUCUGAUGCAGCGAUGCCGCGUGAAUGAAGAAGGCCCUUGGGUUGUAAAGCUCUUUCGUCGGGGAAGAAAAUGACUGUACCCGAAUAAGAAGGUCCGGCUAACUUCGUGCCAGCAGCCGCGGUAAUACGAAGGGACCUAGCGUAGUUCGGAAUUACUGGGCUUAAAGAGUUCGUAGGUGGUUGAAAAAGUUAGUGGUGAAAUCCCAGAGCUUAACUCUGGAACUGCCAUUAAAACUUUUCAGCUAGAGUAUGAUAGAGGAAAGCAGAAUUUCUAGUGUAGAGGUGAAAUUCGUAGAUAUUAGAAAGAAUACCAAUUGCGAAGGCAGCUUUCUGGAUCAUUACUGACACUGAGGAACGAAAGCAUGGGUAGCGAAGAGGAUUAGAUACCCUCGUAGUCCAUGCCGUAAACGAUGUGUGUUAGACGUUGGAAAUUUAUUUUCAGUGUCGCAGGGAAACCGAUAAACACACCGCCUGGGGAGUACGACCGCAAGGUUAAAACUCAAAUGAAUUGACGGGGACCCGCACAAGUAGUGGAGCAUGUGGUUUAAUUCGAAGAUACGCGCAGAACCUUACCAACACUUGACAUGUUCGUCGCGACUCUAAGAGAUUAGAGUUUUCGGUUCGGCCGGACGAAACACAGGUGCUGCAUGGCUGUCGUCAGCUCGUGUCGUGAGAUGUUGGGUUAAGUCCCGCAACGAGCGCAACCCUCACUUUUAGUUGCCAUCAUUAAGUUGGGCACUCUGAAAGAACUGCCAGUGAUAAGCUGGAGGAAGGUGGGGAUGACGUCAAGUCCUCAUGGCCCUUACGUGUUGGGCUACACACGUGCUACAAUGGUAUCUACAACAGGAAGCAAGACUGCGAAGUUAAGCAAAUCCCUAAAAGAUACCUCAGUUCGGAUUGCACUCUGCAGCUCGAGUGCAUGAAGCUGGAAUUACUAGUAAUCGUGGAUCAGCGUGCCACGGUGAAUGCGUUCCCGGGUCU
rnacentral:rRNA from 1 species